GGCCCGGUGGCGGAGUGGAGACGCUGGGGCGGUGCAACGCCCCUCAUGUCCGGUUCGAAUCCGGGCCCGGGCCUCCA
rnacentral:tRNA from 1 species